AUUUAAGCCUGAGAAUAUUGCUAUAGAAUUUGGCGAUUUCCUGUAUGUAUUUACUUGUGGCUAUCGGGGUUGUGUUUGGUUCCCAUCCAAUGCUGACCCUACCAAAUAUUUGGCUCGCCCACUAGAUUUUGAUGUCGUUUGGAUUGGCACCAAAAUUUUGCCAACGGAUUGGCGUCCUGUGGGCGUGGGAUUCGCUCGCCGAAAAUUGGCAUGACUCUUACCCGCUUCUAGUAUGUGGGUGUCGUCUUGUUCUGUAAUGAUAGUAUUUUAAGUGUUCAGUAUGCCGGAUUAAUCGGCAGAGCCCAAUAGGAGUACUGCAAACUGUUUGUUCUUACACAGAACUAUUUGGGGAAGGCGGCCAUGACUCUGUGAGUUUCCUUCUUCUAAGGCAUAUCUUGUACGUAGUUCAGAUGCUACGUUGAUGAGUGAUGGCCAUAUCACGGCUUAGCUGAAAAACAGAC